GAUGAACGCUGGCGGCGUGCCUAAUACAUGCAAGUCGAGCGAACAGACGAGGAGCUUGCUCCUCUGACGUUAGCGGCGGACGGGUGAGUAACACGUGGAUAACCUACCUAUAAGACUGGGAUAACUUCGGGAAACCGGAGCUAAUACCGGAUAACAUGUUGAACCGCAUGGUUCAACAGUGAAAGACGGUCUUGCUGUCACUUAUAGAUGGAUCCGCGCCGCAUUAGCUAGUUGGUAAGGUAACGGCUUACCAAGGCAACGAUGCGUAGCCGACCUGAGAGGGGGAUCGGCCACACUGGAACUGAGACACGGUCCAGACUCCUACGGGAGGCAGCAGUAGGGAAUCUUCCGCAAUGGGCGAAAGCCUGACGGAGCAACGCCGCGUGAGUGAUGAAGGUCUUCGGAUCGUAAAACUCUGUUAUUAGGGAAGAACAAAUGUGUAAGUAACUAUGCACGUCUUGACGGUACCUAAUCAGAAAGCCACGGCUAACUACGUG
rnacentral:rRNA from 1 species